CAACAGCUAGAGUUUGAUCCUGGCUCAGGAUAAACGCUGGCGGCGCACAUAAGACAUGCAAGUCGAACGGACUUAACCAUUAGUUUACUAUUGGAGCGGUUAGUGGCGGACUGGUGAGUAACACGUAAGCAACCUGCCUGUUAGAGGGGAACAACAGUUAGAAAUGACUGCUAAUACCGCAUAUGCCAUAGUGAAGACAUCUUCACAGUGGGAAAGGAGCAAUCCGCUAACAGAUGGGCUUGCGUCUGAUUAGAUAGUUGGUGGGGUAACGGCCUACCAAGUCGACGAUCAGUAGCCGGACUGAGAGGUUGAACGGCCACAUUGGGACUGAGAUACGGCCCAGACUCCUACGGGAGGCAGCAGUCGGGAAUAUUGCGCAAUGGAGGAAACUCUGACGCAGUGACGCCGCGUGCAGGAAGAAGGUUUUCGGAUUGUAAACUGCUUUAGACAGGGAAGAAAAAGGACAGUACCUGUAGAAUAAGCUCCGGCUAACUACGUGCC
rnacentral:rRNA from 1 species